rnacentral:tRNA from 1 species
GAAGUUGAGUGUCUAUCCUCUGCUUUCAAUCGAAAACCAAUGGUAGAAUAAGCAUGUAGAAAGCUUAUGUAUUGCUUGUUUGGACGAGGGUUCGAAUCCCUCCAACUCCA